CCAAAUCGUCCUGAGUACAACAGUCUAUUUAAACUUGCAGAUCUUAAAUAUGAGUUCUAAACCAAGAACUGUCCAUACAAGAGUAUCCUUGAAACAGUCACAGAAAUGGAACAUCUUAUAAUAGCAAGGAACUCUAUGGCUCCAUUUCCAACGGUAAAAUAUGCCAAACACAAAAGGGCAAGAGGAGUUAUCCAGGGCGGAUUUCUGCAAUUUGAAUUCUAUAGUCUUGUCAUUUCUAAUAACCAAACGGUUCAUUAGAGUUGAAAAGUAGUAUUUACCGGGAGAA
rnacentral:misc_RNA from 1 species